GUGUCGUUCACAGGAACAAGUCGUAAGCUGGAGACACAGUACAGACUGUAUAUGGUGUUGGAACUGCACUGCUGUUGAUGUGCUCAGCCCGAAUGUAGUGCAUUUACGCACUUUGCCCACUCAGAACCCGACAAUACCUUUAAGGAUUCUGGCACCUGUAAAGCACCGGACAGAGGCUGACAAGUAUCAGAAGAAUGGCAAGGAUCAGACAAAGCCAGAACCAUCUCCAUGGCGCUGUGUCUUUGGUGAGCGCUCAGAACAACUUGUGGGCAGUGGAGGGCGGGAACGCGCUCGUCUGUUCAGGCCUUUUCCCUCAAAAAAAGAAUCGUGCAAAAACCAGGGCUUACAAAAAUUGAGGUUCCACUGUGUUAAGUGUAAGUACGAAAGUGUGGAAUUGAGUCACAGCCCCACGGAUUAUGCCAUGUAUAAUCAUUACAUGAAUUAAAAAAUGGUCUCAAAAUAAUGUUGAUAAUAUCGUUUAUCGUUAAUAAUUUUAUCGUCCAGAAAAAUCUGUUAUCGUGGCAGACCUUCUUAUAUGCAUACUAGUAUGUUGCAGGCAGGUGGAUAGAUUAGCAAGUGUCCACAAAAUGUUGUCAGUUGUCUUUGUUUGCCACUAAAUCGUUUCGUUUUUGUGGGAGAGGAUGAAGGCAGCACCGCUGGGUAUUACACAAGUCCUCAUAAAAGGGAGUCACAUACAUUUUACUGUGUUUGACUAGCUCUGUUGCCAUGGAAACAACAGAUCAUCCAUUGUCUUAUCACGGCAAGACAAAAUGAAAAGAAACAGUGAAGAAAGUACUGUGCUUCACUUGAAUUUUAGGCACUUCAAUGUGAAUAUACAGUUAAAUUGAUUGCACUUGCUGCAUGGCUGUAGAACCAUGCUGAUGGGUUUUUUUCAUUGCUAUUUUAUUAAGUGAUGUACUGUUUAAAACCAGUUCUCAUUUUCCUAACCAAAUUUGGUGUGCCACUUGUACUGCUUCUGGUCUUGGCAUGUUACGUGCUGCUGCUACCAUGAUUAUGCAAGAUCAUGCAGCGACUAGCGUGCGGGUGAUAAAAACAAGAUGUCGUGUGCUGAUGUGAACUUGAACCCUUGGUGAUAUUCUAUAAAAGUAAAAGUAAUUAAUAAUAACAAAAAAUAUGAAUUUAAUAUAGCACAUUUAUAGAUACUCAGACACCUUACACAAUUAGU